CGAGGACGAGGACAAGUAAUUUC
rnacentral:piRNA from 1 species